rnacentral:rRNA from 1 species
UGGGGAAUUUUGGACAAGGGGCGAAAGCCUGAUCCAGCCAUGCCGCGUGAGUGAAGAAGGCCUUCGGGUUGUAAAGCUCUUUUAGUCGGAAAGAAAGAGUUGCAAUGAAUAAUUGUGAUUUAUGACGGUACCGACAGAAAAAGCACCGGCUAACUACGUGCCAGCAGCCGCGGUAAUACGUAGGGUGCGAGCGUUAAUCGGAAUUACUGGGCGUAAAGGGUGCGCAGGCGGUCUUGCAAGUCAAAUGUGAAAGCCCCGGGCUUAACCUGGGAAUUGCGUUUGAAACUACAAGGCUAGAGUGCAGCAGAGGGGAGUGGAAUUCCAUGUGUAGCAGUGAAAUGCGUAGAGAUGUGGAAGAACACCGAUGGCGAAGGCAGCUCCCUGGGUUGACACUGACGCUCAUGCACGAAAGCGUGGGGAGCAAACA